rnacentral:rRNA from 1 species
GUCAGAUGUGAAAGCCCGGGGCUCAACCUCGGAAUUGCAUUUGAAACUGGCAAACUAGAGUACUGUAGAGGGGGUAGAAUUUCAGGUGUAGCGGUGAAAUGCGUAGAGAUCUGAAGGAAUACCGGUGGCGAAGGCGGCCCCCUGGACAGAUACUGACACUCAGGACUGCGAAAGCGUGGGGAGCCAAACAGGAUUAGAUACCCCUGGUAG